GACGAACGCUGGCGGCGUGCCUAAUACAUGCGAGUUGAGCGCUGAAGGUUGGUACUUGUACCAACUGGAUGAGCAGCGAACGGGUGAGUAACGCGUGGGGAAUCUGCCUUUGAGCGGGGGACAACAUUUGGAAACGAAUGCUAAUACCGCAUAAAAACUUUAAACACAAGUUUUAAGUUUGAAAGAUGCAAUUGCAUCACUCAAAGAUGAUCCCGCGUUGUAUUAGCUAGUUGGUGAGGUAAAGGCUCACCAAGGCGAUGAUACAUAGCCGACCUGAGAGGGUGAUCGGCCACAUUGGGACUGAGACACGGCCCAAACUCCUACGGGAGGCAGCAGUAGGGAAUCUUCGGCAAUGGACGAAAGUCUGACCGAGCAACGCCGCGUGAGUGAAGAAGGUUUUCGGAUCGUAAAACUCUGUUGGUAGAGAAGAACGCUGGUGAGAGUGGAAAGCUCAUCAAGUGACGGUAACUACCCAGAAAGGGACGGCUAACUACGUG
rnacentral:rRNA from 1 species